rnacentral:misc_RNA from 1 species
GAUGAAGAACGUAGCGAAAUGCGAUACGUAAUGUGAAUUGCAGAAUUCAGUGAAUCAUCGAGUCUUUGAACGCACAUUGCGCCCCCUGGUAUUCCGGGGGGCAUGCCUGUCCGAGCGUCAUUGCUGCCCUCAAGCACGGCUUGUGUGUUGGGCCUCCGUCCUCCUCCCGGGGGACGGGCCCGAAAGGCAGCGGCGGCACCGCGUCCGGUCCCGAGCGUAUGGGGCUUCGUCACCCGCUCUUGUAGGCCCGGCCGGCGCUUGCCGACACAUCAAUCUUUUUUCCAGGUUGACCUCGGAUCAGGUAGGGAUACCCGCUGAACUUAAGCAUAUCAAUAAGCGGAGGA